CACUAUGCUUAGCCCUAAACAUCGAUAGCAUCUUAUCCACACUCGCUAUCCGCCCGGGUACUACGAGUAUUAACUUAAAACCCAAAGGACUUGGCGGUGCUUUAGAUCCACCUAGAGGAGCCUGUCCUAGAACCGAUAAUCCCCGUUAAACCUUACCUUUUUUUGUUCUUACCGCCUAUAUACCGCCGUCGUCAGCUUACCCUUUGAGGGUCCUAUAGUAAGCAAGAUUAGUACAACUCAAUACGCCAGGUCGAGGUGUAGCGUAUGAAAAGGAAAGAGAUGGGCUACAUUCACUCUUAGAGUGAAAACGAAUGGUACAGUGAAAUUCUGUUACUGAAGGAGGAUUUAGUAGUAAACAGGAAGCAGAGUGUCCUGUUGAAUUUGGCCCUGAAGCGCGCACACACCGCCCGUCACUCUCCCCAACUUAUCAUGUUAAUCUAACUUAGCCCAAUCUAUAAACCAAGGGGAGGCAAGUCGUAA
rnacentral:rRNA from 1 species